GGGAUCAUGUGAGAACACAUCCCUUAUGUGAGAACCUUUUUAUGUGUGAGGACUCAUUAUAACCGUUGGAUCAAUUACAUCCAACGGCAACAAUUAAUCCCGGUAAAAAAAAAAAAAAAAAAAAAAACAAACCCUCCUAUGUUUAAUUUCGCCCCCUUCGUAGUUUUUUCACUUUACCCCUCUCUCUCUCUUUCUCUACUCCAUUGAAUUAUUCGUUGAAGCGAUAUGUGAGCUUUCCUCCUCCAUUGAAGCAGCUUCUUAGUUUCUCAGGGAAUCAAUGGAGCUGUGUGGUAGAGAUCUUCACCAUCUUUUGUUUCCUUGGUUGCAAGUUCCUUAUAUAAGUGAUUCCAUGUGCUUAGACUUCUUGUGAAAGUUCCUGCAAUGUUAUUUGAUAGUUAACCAAGAAAGGAACAAAUUGUAAAGUUUCCAUCUGUUAAAUAUAAGGUCUUUAGGAAGUGCUACACAUUCAAUGUUAAAGUUGGUAAGCACAUUUAAGUAGUUAAAGAGAGAAGAACUAAACUAGUGCGGAUUAUGCAUCCUUGAUAAGUGAAAUCUUCAAAGCUUCCAUUUGCUUAUGCA